rnacentral:rRNA from 1 species
UUUUCAGUGUCGCAGGGAAACCGAUAAACACACCGCCUGGGGAGUACGACCGCAAGGUUAAAACUCAAAUGAAUUGACGGGGACCCGCACAAGUAGUGGAGCAUGUGGUUUAAUUCGAAGAUACGCGCAGAACCUUACCAACACUUGACAUGUUCGUCGCGACUCUAAGAGAUUAGAGUUUUCGGUUUGGCCGGACGAAACACAGGUGCUGCAUGGCUGUCGUCAGCUCGUGUCGUGAGAUGUUGGGUUAAGUCCCGCAACGAGCGCAACCCUCACUUUUAGUUGCCAUCAUUAAGUUGGGCACUCUGAAAGAACUGCCAGUGAUAAGCUGGAGGAAGGUGGGGAUGACGUCAAGUCCUCAUGGCCCUUACGUGUUGGGCUACACACGUGCUACAAUGGUAUCUACAACAGGAAGCAAGACUGCGAAGUUUAGCAAAUCCCUAAAAGAUACCUCAGUUCGGAUUGCACUCUGCAACUCGAGUGCAUGAAGCUGGAAUUACUAGUAAUCGUGGAUCAGCGUGCCACGGUGAAUGCGUUCCCGGGUCUUGUACACACCGCCCGUCACACCAUGGGAGUUGGUUCUACCUUAAGGCAAGGUUUUAAACCCUUGACCACGGUAUAGUCAGCGACUGGGGUGAAGUCGUAACAAGGUAGCCGUAGGGGAACCUGCGGCUGGAUUACCUCCUU